CAUCUUAUAUAAUACCUUAGGUCUCUUAGGUAAAAUAUUCUUUAAUUACCUAAGAGACCUAAGGUAUUAUAUAAGAGGAG